rnacentral:rRNA from 1 species
UAGGGAAUUUUGGGCAAUGGGCGAAAGCCUGACCCAGCAACGCCGCGUGUGGGAUGAAGGCCCUCGGGUCGUAAACCACUGUCAGGAGGAAAGAACGGUCGGCCGGAUAAUACCCGGUCGAUUUGACGGUACCUCCAAAGGAAGCGCCGGCUAACUCCGUGCCAGCAGCCGCGGUAAUACGGAGGGCGCAAGCGUUGUUCGGAAUUACUGGGCGUAAAGCGCAUGCAGGUGGCUGAGUAAGUCGAAUGUGAAAGCCCCGGGCUCAACUCGGGAACUGCAUCCGAAACUACUUGGCUAGAGUCCCGGAGAGGAAGGCAGAAUUCCCAAUGUAGGGGUGAAAUCCGUAGAUAUUGGGAGGAAUACCGGUGGCGAAGGCGGCCUUCUGGACGGUGACUGACACUCAGAUGCGAAAGCGUGGGGAGCAAACAGGAUUAGAUACCCCCGUAGUCC